CCAGCAGCUGCGUUAAUUCCAGCUCCAAUAGCGUAUAUUAAAGUUGUUGCAGUUAAAAAGCUCGUAGUCGGAUUUCGGGACUGGGCCGAACGGACUGCCUUUUUGGUAUGUUUUCUGUUUGGCCUGUCCUUCCUUCCGAGGGCCCAGCCUGUCCUUCACUGGAUGGGUUGGGUGCUCGGGACUUUUACUUUGAAAAAAUUAGAGUGUUUAAAGCAGGCCUUUGCUCUGAAUACAUUAGCAUGGAAUAAUCGAAUAGGACUCUGGUUCUAUUUUGUUGGUUUCUAGGACCGGAGUAAUGAUCAAAAGGAACAGUUUGGGGCGUUCGUAUUUCAUUGUCAGAGGUGAAAUUCUUGGAUUUAUGAAAGACGAACUUCUGCGAAAGCAUUCGCCAGGGAUGUUUUCAUUGAUCAAGAACGAAAGU
rnacentral:rRNA from 1 species